rnacentral:rRNA from 1 species
AUUGAACGCUGGCGGCAUGCCUUACACAUGCAAGUCGAACGGCAGCAUGUCUUGUAGCAAUACAAGAUGAUGGCGAGUGGCGAACGGGUGAGUAAUAUAUCGGAACAUGCCAUUUAGUGGGGGAUAGCCCGGCGAAAGAUGGAUUAAUACCGCAUACGAUCUACGGAUGAAAGCUGGGGAACGCAAGGCCUGGCGCUAAAUGAUUGGCCGAUAUCAGAUUAGGUAGUUGGUGGGGUAAAAGCCUACCAAGCCUACGAUCUGUAGCUGGUCUGAGAGGACGAUCAGCCACACUGGGACUGAGACACGGCCCAGACUCCUACGGGAGGCAGCAGUGGGGAAUUUUGGACAAUGGGGGCAACCCUGAUCCAGCAAUGCCGCGUGAGUGAAGAAGGCCUUCGGGUUGUAAAGCUCUUUUGUCAGGGAAGAAACACCGGCUCUAACACAGUCCGGGAAUGACGGUACCUGAAGAAUAAGCACCGGCUAACUACGUGCCAGCAGCCGCGGUAA